UACGGGGGGGAGCAAGCGUUGUUCGGAUUUACUGGGCGUAAAGGGCGCGUAGGCGGUCGUGACAAGUCACUUGUGAAAUCUCCGGGCUUAACUCGGAACGGUCAAGUGAUACUGUCGGACUAGAGUACAGAAGGGGGCAACUGGAAUUCUCGGUGUAGCGGUGAAAUGCGUAGAUAUCGAGAGGAACACCUGCGGCGAAGGCGGCUUCCUGGCCUGUUCUUGACGCUGAGGCGCGAAAGCUAGGGGAGCAAACGGG
rnacentral:rRNA from 1 species